rnacentral:rRNA from 1 species
UACGUAGGGGGCAAGCGUUGUCCGGAUUCAUUGGGCGUAAAGAGCGUGUAGGCGGCCAGGUAGGUCGGUUGUGAAAACUGGAGGCUCAACCUUCAGACGUCGACCGAAACCCCCUGGCUAGAGUCCGGGAGAGGAGAGUGGAAUUCCUGGUGUAGCGGUGAAAUGCGCAGAUAUCAGGAAGAACACCCGUGGCGAAAGCGGCUCUCUGGAACGGUACCGACGCUGAGACGCGAAAGCGUGGGGAGCGAACAGG